CAUCACUUUAUGCCACUAUAUAUGAGCACGGCCUUUGCCGCUUUCACAUUUCUUGUUGCCCUUCGCUUUCUCUCUGUCUCAGCUGUGCGUAAGGAAUCACCUGCCUCGAACAGUAUCCGGCGAACUCUAACAAUCUUCGGUCUCCAAUUCAUUGGUAUAGCGGGAUUAGGGUUUAAGGUAUUUGAUCGAACUUCGACGCUAUUGCGGAUAAUUUAAGUUGUAUGUAGGUGAAAGCGUUGAUGCGCUGUGGGAGCUGAAGCUGUUCAUUUAGGUCAGAAUGGGAUUUGAUAAUGAGUGCAUAUUAAACAUUCAAACUUUAGCUGGAGAGUAUUUCUGCCCUGUCUGUCGUCUGCUUGUCUACCCGAAUGAGGCAUUACAGUCACAAUGCACUCAUUUAUACUGUAAGCCCUGUUUGACAUACGUUGUGAGUACUACUCGGGCCUGCCCUUAUGAUGGCUACUUGAUAACUGAAGCAGAUUCCAAGCCGCUUGUAGAAUCGAAUAAAACGCUUGCUGAAACCAUUGGCAAAAUAGCAGUUCAUUGUCUCUACCAUAGGAGUGGAUGUACAUGGCAGGGGCCUUUAUCUGAGUGCACGCCUCAUUGUACUGGAUGUGCAUUUGGCAAUUCCCCUGUUGUAUGCAACAGAUGUGGGAUUCAAAUCGUGCAUCGUCAAGUACAGGAACAUGCUCAAAAUUGUCCUGGUGUGCAGCCUCAGGUGCAGCAGGCAGAAGGUGCUCAGGACACUUCAGCCACUGGCGGAACUGCAACUGCCGAUCAGACUCAGGCUGGCACUCAGGCAGGAGUAACAACUCCUCAGGCCCAGACUUCUCAAACUACUGUAGCCACUACACUUGGACAGGAUCCUAAUCAGCAAGCAAACCCAAAUUCUCAAGCCCAAGCUGUAGUUCAGUCUGCUGUGCCGACUCCAGAACAGUGGUAUCAGCAACAACAACAGUAUCAGCAAUACUACCAGCAGUAUCCUGGAUAUGACCCCUAUCAACAGCAUUAUCAGCAGUAUUACCCCUAUCAACAGCCUGCAGUUCCGCAAUACCCUCAGCAGAACUUGCAAGCUCAUCCACUGCAUGGGACUGGUCAGCAUCAACCUCAGCCUCAGCCCCAAACCCAGCCACAGCCUCAGCCUCAGCCUCAUGUCCAGCCUCAAACCCAACCACAAUCUCAGCCCCUUGGACAAUCUCAAUCACAUCCACAUAUUCAAGCUCCAGCGGUUACUCAACUUCAGAACCAGGCACAAGUUAACCUGCAACAGCAAGCACAAACUGUGGUGUUACCACAUUCUCAAAUUCAGUCGCAGACUCUUCAGCCAGUCCCAAGCCACCCACAUCCUCAGUCUCAGCCGUUUCCCCAAGCUCAGCCCCAUGCCACCCAACCUCAUCCACAGCAACAUGUGCCGGUGCCUCAAUAUCAGCAGCCUCAUCAUCAGAUGCAACACCCACAGCUUCAGAUUCAGCAACAGGUGCAUCAACAUCCCCCUUCUCAAUCCCAACCUCAUUCACAAGCUCAGCUACAAGUGCCAGUUCAAAAUCACUCUCAGCCACAUCCCAACCUAAAUCCUAAUGUCCAGCCUCAGAUGCUGCAUCCAUCCGCCCAUGCUGUGACGGGCCAUCAAUCGUAUCCUCAGCCUCAGCCUCAGCCUCAGCCUCCGCCUCAGCAGCAAAUGCAUCUAGUAGCCCCACAACAACAUCAAAUGCACAUGCACCCUCAAGGUGGGCCUCAGCCACAAUCUCAACAUUCUGGUCAGAUGCCAAGUCAAUUCCCUCAACAACAUACUCCUAUGCGUCCACCUCCUUCUCAUGCUACAAUUCCAAGCCAGCAACAGGCGGCUUUGUUGCCAUUACCAGGUCAAGUGCAAAACAUCCCUCCUGCACAACAGCAGCCAGUUCAACAAUCUGGACACCCAAUCCACCAGCACCCUGUUAUGCAGCCAGUUCAGCAGCCCAUGGCUCAGCAAUAUGUGCAGCAUCAGCAGCCUUUUGUACCGCAAGGUCCAUUUGUACAGCAGCAGAUGCCCACCCCCUCUCAGUUGCGCCCCCCAGGGCUGCCUCAGUCAUAUCCACAACAUACUCAUGCCUAUCCACAGAUGCAGCUGAAUGUAGCAUUGCCACAUGGAUCUCAAAAUGUUGCUGGAAGACCCAUGAUGCCAAAUCCUGGAGUACAAUCACAGCCAUAUCCACAACAUGCUGGUGUUGUUCAGGCGAGGCCUAUGCAUCUUGGUGCAAGCCAACCAUCUGCAAAUCAGAACAAUGUGCUCAGAAACAGCCAAGUGCCAGUGUCUAUUGAGCAACAGUCGGGGCCAACUUCAAGGCCAACGAUGUCCAUAAGGCAAGGUGAUCACGUAUUUGAGAAAAGUGUGGGUGAUCAAGCACCCGGAUCAUCUUCUGAGAAUGCUGUGAAAAAGGUCUCAAAUGAUUUGGAUGCAGCAUCUGGUCUUGGAGCUGAUGCUGGUGAAGUAAAAACUGUGAAAUCUGAAACUGAUAUUAAGGCCAAGGAUGAUGGUGAUGCAGAACCGGAAUCACGUGCAGUGGAAAAUGGGGAAUUUGUUAAGCGGAUGGUGAAGGAAGAGGCUUCAGAAAGUAAUUCGGAGCACUUAAAUGUUGGUAAAUCAGGUGAACUUGAAUCUGAGGUCAAGAAAGAUGUUUCGAAUGCUAGCCCAAAAUAUUUGGACAAUUCUGCUGUGGAAGACAGAAAAAAUCAGGGUGAUCCCCUGCUGAAAAUUCUGCCAUUUCAUGAAUCUGCACAUAUUGAAAAACUGAGUGGGAAAUUGCAGAAGGAUUCCAGUGGGAUUCAGCAGCCUUCCACUGGUGCUGAUGAAGCCUCACAAACUUUGUCCAUGACUUCAGCUCCUGUCUCCCGUAGUCCUGCUCAGAAUGUUGUCCCCAAAGUAGCCAUUUCUCAAGGUCCUGGAGUUGAUGAAUACCGAGGUUUUCCUCCACCUGGUCAGGUGCAAUCUGGGGCCUUCACACAGUCUUCUCACCUAGGGCCAAUUGCUGAUCAGGGACGGCAUUUUGGGCCUUCUACUCUCCAGCAAAGGCCUGGUGCUCCAUUGUUACAAACGCCUCCUCCUGUUCUCCCAUAUCACACGCAUGCAGCAGGGCACCCUUCCACUCAAUUAAGGCCUCAGGGACAUGGGCAUGUAUCUGAGCAUUUCCAGCCACCUGUGUUUAAGCAGUCUCAAGGUCUUGAAAUUCCCCCUGCUGGCAUCUCAGGCCCUGGCUCCACAGCAUCCUUUGGGAGGGGAUCAGGUUAUUAUGGUUUUCCCCAGCCGAACUUUGAACUGCAGCCUGUUGCUUCUCAAGGGCCUCGAAGUCAAGGGCAUGCACUCCCUAACCCUGCUGCGGCUUCCAGAAUGUCUCAAGGUGAAUCUAUUGGAGGGGCAUUUGGUACACUACCUCCUGGUGCAAUUGAUUCACAUGCUGGAAUGAUGGCCAGAGCACCACCACAUGGCCCUGAAGGUUUGAUGGGUCAGCAGCGCCCUACUAAUCCGAUGGAAGCGGAAUUGUUAACAAAUCAUAGACCAAGUUACAUGGACAGUAGACGACUUGAUCCACAUCUUCCUGGGUCUUUGGGACAGGGUCCAGUUGGUCAGCCUUCUGGUGUAAUGCGAAGUAAUGGGCCCCCUGGCCUUGAGUCCUCAUCAACACUUGGGUUGCGGGACGAUAGGUUGAAUCCUUUCCCAGAUGAGCGUUUCAAUUCUGUUCUAGGACGACAUGCGACAGAUCGAGGAGAGUUUGAAGACAAUCUUAAUCAAUUCCCCAAGACUUCUCGUUUGGAUGCUGAACCUGUACCAAAGUUUGGGAAUUAUUCGUCAAGGCCCCAUGAGAUGGGACCGUAUGGGCUAAAUAGUGAUACUGGUUUGAAAUUGGAUCCUGGGGCUGGCAGUGCCCAUUCAAGAUUCUUGCCUCCCUAUGAUGCAGGAGAGAGACCGGUUGGUUUGCCGGAUUCUACUCGUAAUCAUCCAGAUUUUCUUGGACCAGUUAGUGGGUAUGCUCGACGUCACAUGGAUGGCCCGACUCCUAGAAGUCCAGUUAGAGAAUACCCUGGCAUAUCCUCACGUGGUUUUGGAGGCAUUCCUGGCCAGUCAGGCCUAGAUGACUUUGAUGGCAGGGAUUCACGUCGUUUUGGUGAUCCAAUUGGCAAUUCGUUCCAUGAAAGCAGGUAUUCUGUUUUGCCCGGUCAUUUGCACAGGGGUGAGUUUGAGGGUCCCGGUAAGUUACGAAUGGGUGAGCAUUUAAGGAGUAGUGGUGAUAUGAUUGGUUUAGAUGGCCAUUUACGGAGGGGCGAACAUUUGGGUCCGCGUAACUUGCCGAAUCAUAUGCGGUUGGGUGAGCCAAUUGGUUUUGGUGACUAUCCUGGUCAUGCACGGAUGGGAGAAUUGGCUGGGCUUGGGAACUUCGAAUCUUUUGGUGCAGGCAACAGGCCAGGUCAUCCACGAUUUGGUGAGCCAGGAUUUAGGAGCAGUUUCUCUCUUCAGGGAUUUCCAAAUGAUGGUGGAAUGAAUACAGGAGAUGCAGGGUCUUUUGGUAACCUGAGGAAGAGGAAGGUGGCUAGCACAGGAUGGUGUCGAAUCUGUAAAGUUGACUGUGAAACAGUUGGAGGCUUGGAAUUGCACUCACAAACAAGGGAGCACCAGAAAAUGGCUAUGGAUAUGGUACGGAGUAUCAAGCAGAAUGCAAAGAAACAGAAAUCAUCAACUGGUGACCAUUCCUCACUUGAAGAUGCAAGCAAGUCAAAGAGUACCAGUUUUGAGGCUCGUGGGAAUAAGCAUUAAGUGGUGCUGGUGUGGUGAAAAAUUGUCCAUUGCUGACUUGGGUUCAAUUUAGUGUUUGUGGUAUUAUUGCCCGUAGUGAUAUAGGUGAUUCACCCUUCAUGCCUCUUUUCUCAUUUCAGGACGGUUUAUGUUAGUUUUGUCAUUUCAGGUUGCUGCCAUGUUUAUGGAGAUGGGUUUUGGAACUGAAGUGCAGUGGCAGGUGUCAUAGCUAAAACUAAAGUUGUCUGAUAUGGUUGCUUGGUUUAGCUGGUGAUUUGCUUCUGUUGUCAAAACUGUGUCAGAUUUUCAAUUCGACGUGUCUUUUUACGGCGAAGCAGACAACAAAAUGGAUGAAAGUUCAGUGGAAAGGUUUACCCGGUCAUCUUUUAUGGAUGUGGGGUGGGCAUUGGAGGUAGCGGAGGUAGAAAUGAGCUUUCCGCUUUCCGCCUCUACCACUGUUGGAAAGUUGGAAUGAUGUCCGUCUCUUUUCCGAUGGAGGUCAUUAUUGCCCAGCCUCUGUCUCCAAAAUGUUAGAGGCGGAGUCGGGUAGAGCCGUCAAAAGAGAUCUGACAAAGACGAAGACGCCUUGUCUUCGUCCCAAGACUGAGUCUUCUUCUUGAGAGAGAGAGAGAAACACAAAUGCAAGUGGACCCAAGCUGGUGCAGGGAAAGUAUCUUCUUUUUUUUUUUU